ACAAGCAGCGGAGCAUGUGGUUUAAUUCGAAGCAACGCGAAGAACCUUACCUAGACUUGACAUCUCCUGCAUUACCCUUAAUCGGGAAGCCCUUCGGGCAGGAAGACAGGUGGUGCAUGGUUGUCGUCAGCUCGUGUCGUGAGAUGUUGGGUUAAGUCCCGCAACGAGCGCAACCCUUAUUUUUAGUUGCUACCAUUCAGUUGAGCACUCUAAAGAGACUGCCCGGGUUAACCGGGAGGAAGGUGGGGAUGACGUCAAAUCAUCAUGCCCCUUAUGUCUAGGGCUACACACGUGCUACAAUGGUGAGAACAAAGAGACGCAAGACCGCGAGGUGGAGCUAAUCUCUUAAAGCCAAUCUCAGUUCGGAUUGUAGGCUGCAACUCGCCUACAUGAAGUCGGAAUCGCUAGUAAUCGCGGAUCAGCACGCCGCGGUGAAUACGUUCCCGGGCCUU
rnacentral:rRNA from 1 species